GUCUACAGCCAUGCCACCCUGAACAUGCCCGAUCUCGUCUGAUCUUGUCUGAUCGAAGAAGCUAAGCAAGGUUGGGCCUGGUUAGUACUUGGAUGGGAUUCCACCUAGGAAUACCAGGUGCUGCAGGCA
ensembl:rRNA 5S_rRNA 5S ribosomal RNA